rnacentral:rRNA from 1 species
UGUAAAAAAUUGGUUAUAUUUGUUAAGAAAUAUAAGUAGGAUUGUUGAGAAACAUCUUUUGUUGUGAGUAAUGGUGAAUGAAAAUUUUAAAGUAGAGCUAUAGGUUAUAAGUAUCGUGAGAGAAUUGUUUAUUUAAAUUUGAUGUAGUUGAGGUUAAGCCUUCGUACCUUUUGUAUCAUGGUUUUUCGAGAGUUGUUUUAUGUAUAUUAGAUGGCCCGAAAGAAAGUGAGCUAUUACAUGGCUGAUUAGAUGUCAUUGUGGCAAAAAUGUAUUGAGACUAUGUAAUAGGGGUGACAUGCCUUUCGCACUUUUUGAUAGCUGGUUGACUGGGAAAUGCAUUUAAGUGCAGGUUCAAUUGCUGUAUAGUGAAAAAUUAAUUGAUGUUGUAUAGAAGUUGUGGGUUGAGUUAAUAAAGGAAAAUAAGAUGCUCUAACAUUAUUUAAAUUGACUGCUAAAUUUUGGUUGGUUUAAUAGAGUUUAUUAUUUUAGGUGGAUCUGAAAUAUAAAAGGAUGAGCUUUUAUAUGUAGUUAAAAUCUUGCUGUAGAGAAUAUAUAUUGAUAAAGUGGGCUUAGAGUUGGUCAUUUUUUGAGUGGAGUUUUUUACAAAACAUUUUAUAUUUUAGUUUGUAGAUAGUUAGAUGCAAAGAUUUAAUGUUGUACUGGUUUGCUUAAUGUAAUUAGAUUAAUUAAGGUAAUUAUGUUAGAAUGAGUAUUUAUAAAAAUUUUAAUGAGUUUUUGUUGUAUUUUGGGUUGAGAGGCUCAAGUUUAAGGGAAAUUGGCUUUAGAUAGUUUAUAAUUUGUUUUAUAUAAUUUUUUAAAAGGAACUCGGCAAAUAUUAAUUCCGCCUGUUUAUCAAAAACAUGGCCCCUCGAAAGUAGGAUGUAUGGGGGGUCGGACCUGCCCGGUGACUUUAGAAGUUAAACGGCCGCGGUACCCUGACCGUGCAAAGGUAGCAUAAUCAUUUGCCUCUUAAUUGGGGGAUGGUAUGAAUGGUUUGACGAGAAUUAAGCUGUCUCUUUUAAAAUAUUGAGAAAUUAACUUUUAGGUGAAGAGGCCUAAAUUUUGCUGAGGGACAAGAAGACCCUAUUGAGCUUUAGUUAUCUUUUGGGUAUAUGGUUACAUUUAUUUGAAAACUUUUCUUAAAGAAAUCUUUGGUUGGGGCGACUUAGGAACAAAAAAAGCUUCCUAUGAUAGAAUAAUGGUUUUAAAUUUGCCUGUUUUUGAUCCGGUAUUACCGAUUAAAGGAAAAAGUUACCAUAGGGAUAACAGCGUAAUCUUCUUGGAGAGUACAUAUCGAAAAGUGGGUUUGCGACCUCGAUGUUGGACUAAGAUAUCCUGAGGGUGUAGCAGCUUUCGAGGGUUGGUCUGUUCGACCAUUAAAAUCUUACAUGAUCUGAGUUCAGACCGGCGUGAGCCAGGUCGGUUUCUAUCUUCAGUAUAAAAUAACCUCUAAUUAGUACGAAAGGACCAUUAAAGUGGGGUGAAGAAUUUAUAUUAAGUUAAAUGAGUUCAUAUAAAUGGAUAAAUAAGUGUUGUCAAGUUGGCAGAUUCAAUGUAAU